CAAUAGCGUAUAUUAAAGUUGUUGCGGUUAAAAAGCUCGUAGUUGGAUUUCGGCGGACAGGGGGCGGUUCGAUAUUUGUCGCUACUGCCCCAUUUGUCCGUGUUUUUGGCGGAGGUUUCAGGGUGCUCUUCACCGAGUGGCCUGGGAUGCCGUCAGGUUUACUUUGAAAAAAUUAGAGUGCUCAAAGCAGGCUUUACACGCUUGAAUAUUCGUGCAUGGAAUAAUGGAAUAGGACGUCGUUUCUAUUUUGUUGGUUUUCGGAAAUCGACGUAAUGAUUAACAGGGACAGUCGGGGGCAUUAGUAUUCAGACGACAGAGGUGAAAUUCUUGGACCGUCUGAAGACUAACUACUGCGAAAGCAUUUGCCAAGAAUGUUUUCAUUAA
rnacentral:rRNA from 1 species